rnacentral:rRNA from 1 species
AGAACGAACGCUGGCGGCAUGCCUAAUACAUGCAAGUCGAACGAACACUUCGGUGUUAGUGGCGCACGGGUGCGUAACGCGUGGGAAUCUGCCCUUGGGUUCGGAAUAACAGUUGGAAACGACUGCUAAUACCGGAUGAUAUCGAAAGAUCAAAGAUUUAUCGCCCAGGGAUGAGCCCGCGUAGGAUUAGCUAGUUGGUGAGGUAAAGGCUCACCAAGGCGACGAUCCUUAGCUGGUCUGAGAGGAUGAUCAGCCACACUGGGACUGAGACACGGCCCAGACUCCUACGGGAGGCAGCAGUAGGGAAUAUUGGACAAUGGGCGCAAGCCUGAUCCAGCAAUGCCGCGUGAGUGAUGAAGGCCUUAGGGUUGUAAAGCUCUUUACCCGAGAUGAUAAUGACAGUAUCGGAAGAAUAAGCCCCGGACUAACUCCGCGCCAGCAGCCGC